AUUGAACGCUGGCGGAAUGCUUUACACAUGCAAGUCGAACGGUAGAGGGGGCAACCCCUUGAGAGUGGCGAACGGGUGAGUAAUAUAUCGGAACGUGCCCAGUCGUGGGGAUAACGUAGCGAAAGUUACGCUAAUACCGCAUACGAUCUAAGGAUGAAAGCGGGGGACUCGCAAGAGCCUCGCGCGAUUGGAGCGGCCGAUAUCAGAUUAGGUAGUUGGUGGGGUAAAGGCUCACCAAGCCAACGAUCUGUAGCUGGUCUGAGAGGACGACCAGCCACACUGGAACUGAGACACGGUCCAGACUCCUACGGAGGCAGCAGUGGGAAUUUGGACAAUGGACGCAAGUCUGAUCCAGCCAUUCCGCGUGCAGGAUGAAGGCCCUCGGGUUGUAAACUGCUUUGUACGGAACGAAAAGGUUCGUAUUAAUACUAGAGNUCAUGACGGUACCGUAA
rnacentral:rRNA from 1 species